AGAGUUUGAUCCUGGCUCAGGAUGAACGCUAGCGACAGGCCUAACACAUGCAAGUCGAGGGGUAACACGAGUGCUUGCACUUGAUGACGACCGGCGCACGGGUGCGUAACGCGUAUGCAACUUACCUUGUACUGGGGAAUAGCCCGUGGAAACGCGGAUUAAUGUCCCAUGACACUACAAUUUCGCAUGGAAAAGUGGUUAAAGUUCCGACGGUACAAGAUGGGCAUGCGUGACAUUAGCUAGUUGGUGAGGUAAGGGCUCACCAAGGCGACGAUGUCUAGGGGUUCUGAGAGGAAGGUCCCCCACACUAGUACUGAGACACGGACCAGACUCCUACGGGAGGCAGCAGUGAGGAAUAUUGGUCAAUGGGCGCAAGCCUGAACCAGCCAUGUCGCGUGCAGGAAGACUGCCCUACGGGUUGUAAACUGCUUUUGUAUGGGAAGAAACGUUGGUACGUGUACCAAUUUGCCGGUACCAUACGAAUAAGGAUCGGCUAACUCCGUGCCAGCAGCCGCGGUAAUACGGAGGAUCCAAGCGUUAUCCGGAUUUAUCGGGUUUAAAGGGUGCGUAGGCGGUAGAAUAAGUCAGUGGUGAAAUCCUGCAGCUUAACUGUAGAACUGCCAUUGAUACUGUUUUACUUGAGUGUAAUUGAGGUAGGCGGAAUGUGUUGUGUAGCGGUGAGAUGCAUAGAUAUAACACAGAACACCGAUUGCGAAGGCAGCUUACUAAGUUAUAACUGACGCUGAUGCACGAAAGCGUGGGUAGCGAACAGGAUUAGAUACCCUGGUAGUCCACGCCGUAAACGAUGAUUACUCGCUGUAGGCAAUACACCGUCUGUGGCUGAGCGAAAGCAUUAAGUAAUCCACCUGGGGAGUACGUUGGCAACAAUGAAACUCAAAGGAAUUGACGGGGGCCCGCACAAGCGUGAACAUGUGGUUUAAUUCGAUGAUACGCGAGGAACCUUACCUGGACUUAAAUGUAGAUUGACGUAUCCAGAGAUGGAUAUUUCUUCGGACAAUUUACAAGGUGCUGCAUGGUUGUCGUCAGCUCGUGCCGUGAGGUGUCGGGUUAAGUCCCAUAACGAGCGCAACCCCUGUUGUUAGUUACCAGCACAUCAUGGUGGGGACUCUAACAAGACUGCCGGUGUAAACCGCGAGGAAGGUGGGGAUGACGUCAAAUCAGCACGGCCCUUAUGUCCAGGGCUACACACGUGUUACAAUGGCCGGUACAGAGGGCAGCUACUUGGUGACAAGAUGCGAAUCUCAAAAACCGGUCUCAGUUCGGAUCGAAGUCUGCAACCCGACUUCGUGAAGCUGGAUUCGCUAGUAAUCGCAUAUCAGCCAUGAUGCGGUGAAUACGUUCCCGGGCCUUGUACGC
rnacentral:rRNA from 1 species